AGAGUUUGAUCAUGGCUCAGGAUGAACGCUAGCGGCAGGCUUAACACAUGCAAGUCGAGGGGUAACAGGGAUUGCUUGCAAUCCGCUGACGACCGGCGCACGGGUGCGUAACGCGUAUGCAACCUACCUUCUACAGGGGGAUAGUCAAUAGAAAUGUUGAAUAAUACCCCAUACGAUCUUUGAAUAGCAUUAUUUAGAGAAGAAAGUUCCGGCGGUAGAAGAUGGGCAUGCGUCCUAUUAGUUAGUUGGAGAGGUAACGGCUCCCCAAGACAUCGAUAGGUAGGGGUCCUGAGAGGGAGACCCCCCACACUGGUACUGAGACACGGACCAGACUCCUACGGGAGGCAGCAGUGAGGAAUAUUGGACAAUGGAGGCAACUCUGAUCCAGCCAUGCCGCGUGCAGGAAGACUGCCCUAUGGGUUGUAAACUGCUUUUAUACAGGAAGAAAUGUACCUACGUGUAGGUAUUUGACGGUACUGUACGAAUAAGGAUCGGCUAACUCCGUGCCAGCAGCCGCGGUAAUACGGAGGAUCCAAGCGUUAUCCGGAAUCAUUGGGUUUAAAGGGUCCGUAGGCGGUCUUUUAAGUCAGAGGUGAAAUCCUACAGCUCAACUGUAGAAUUGCCUUUGAUACUGAAAGACUUGAGUUAUUGUGAAGUAGUUAGAAUGUGUGGUGUAGCGGUGAAAUGCAUAGAGAUCACACAGAAUACCGAUUGCGAAGGCAGAUUACUAACAAUAUACUGACGCUGAGGGACGAAAGCGUGGGUAGCGAACAGGAUUAGAUACCCUGCUAGUCCACGCCGUAAACGAUGGAUACUAGCUGUUCGACCAACAUUGGUUGGUUGAGUGGCUAAGCGAAAGUGAUAAGUAUCCCACCUGGGGGAGU
rnacentral:rRNA from 1 species